rnacentral:rRNA from 1 species
AUACGGAGGAUCCGAGCGUUAUCCGGAUUUAUUGGGCUUAAAGGGUGCGUAGGCUGUUCGGAAAGUCAGGGGUGAAAGCCCGGCGCCUAACGCCGGAACUGCCUUUGAUACUUCCGAGCUGGAAUACGGAUGCCGUGGGAGGAAUGAGUAGUGUAGCGGUGAAAUGCAUAGAUAUUACUCAGAACACCGAUUGCGAAGGCAUCUCACGAAUCCGUCAUUGACGCUGAGGCACGAAAGCGUGGGGAUCAAACAGGAUUAGAUACCCUGGUAGUCCACGCAGUAAACGAUGAACACUGGCUGUCCGGAGGGAACGACCUCUGGGUGGCGUAGCGAAAGCGUUAAGUGUUCCACCUGGGGAGUACGCCGGCAACGGUGAAACUCAAAUGAAUUGACGGGG